CGACCUUGAAAUCCAGGUACCGCGUCACCUUGGUGAGGAGCAGCAUCCGGACCAGCUGGCCUGGAGGGAAGAGCCGCAGGGAGGAGAGCUCGCACCUGUGACACCUGUCACACCUGCGCUCAGCCUAAACUCCACAGGGCCUGCUGCUGGCCCCUGACCCAGUGACCCCAUGACCCCUGACCCCAUGACCCCCCAGCCCUGCAGAUGUGCUUUGACUUGCCGUUGGCCAUCAGGAACUUCGGGAUGAGGUCCACGUUCCAGUCCCUCCCCUUCCCCAUGGACUCUGGGGGACUGCCAGGCAAGUUGAAACGCUUAUACAGCUAGGACAGACAGACAAACGAGAGUCAUCACCAGAUAACUGGAACUGGAAUAGACUGGCAGGCGGUUGGCAGAUGAUUGGCAGAUGAUAGGCAGGCCUUACGUCCUCCAGCGGGGUGAUGGAGGCGCUUUCUGCUCCGUAGUAGGAGUUUCGGUCCAUGUGCAGCACCUUCUUCCCCUUCACCGACAUGAUCCCGGAAAGGAUACAUUCCUGAAAAAAAGUCCCAGCAUACACCUCACCACCACACUUACACUUCAACUCUAAACCCUCAACCUCACUGAGAACAGCAAGCCACGCUGAACCACCGUAAGUAAAUCUCACUUUAUUCAAGAGGAGCCGCACUGAACUCCACAACACAUGUAUUUCUGGGAUGAAAACAUUCUGUCAUCUUAUUUUUAUCUCCGGACAGAUUACACCCUAUUGAGAAAUGAACGAUAGGGUGGUCCUGAACGAUAACUGUGGGUGACAUGUUAGCAGCGUCCUCAGGACCCUACUGGUGGUCUUAGGAGUGAAAAUAUUUGCUGCACUUUAGCACUAUUCACAGUUUAUAUUAUUCUUCUUUCUGAAACUAAAGUUGUACAAAGAGCACAUUUUUAUGACUCCGGACUCACUCCUGGGAAUCUGUGUAUUUUUCCGUCACUGUACAGGUUUCCUCCUCCGGUUGACGGACCAGUGCAGGACGGACAGAACCUUGCGCAGUUUGAGCUGACUGUGCUCCUCUGACCCGUCUGCUUCCUCUGUGCCACUGACCCUCCCUGCCCUACAUUAGGCUGACGCACUGGCAAUCUUUACAGCAGGUGUAAACUGGAGUUAGCAGCGAUGGAAGCACUAGGACAUCCCUCCCACUCCUGGCAUGCACUGCAUUCCUGAAUCUCUCCAGCGACCCAAAGCUGUCUCUCAAACGACAAAAAAAUGGAGAGCGAUGGUACUCGGGUAGCGCUGAGACGUGGCCACGUCAAUAACUUCCAACCCACGUCGGGGGAGGAGUCGUUCAGCCCUUCACCAAUCAUGAGAGGCAAAGAAUGUUUCGAGUCUUUGCCAGCAUCUGUGCCCGGGUACCCAGCGCCCCCUGCGGUGGGCGGGUACGGCUUGUGGGGACGCGUUAGGAUUCCGGGGCGUGGGAGUCGAAGGCCGCGAGCACGUCCUGCUUCCUAGCGAGCUGAUUGGCCGUCGUCCCGGAGGCGUCCUGCGUGUCCCGGAGUCCGAGCAGGAGGAGAGCUCGUGUGGCGUCCGCCUGCUGUCCCGCACAGGCCGAGUGGAGGGCUGGGACAGAAAUGGGGUUUUCUUUUACAGACACAUUUACAACCUGUCAAAAUCACAAAAAUAUGUUUCCCUAAUGAUCUGCAAUUUUCACAUUUUCUUUUUCACCCAAAACCAAAUUUAUGAUUGUGUGAGUCACAUUGAUAUGAACCAGCCUUAAUGUCAGCCUUUAGUUUCUGCUUCAUUUCACAAGCAUAGAUUAAUUACAGUAAAGAAAACUACCGCCAUUUGUGGAACAAGGUCGGCUCCUAAUUCCAGGAGGGUUUUUAUCGUGCUCGCGUGACCUUCCUACAAGAAGGAUCGCAAAUGAAGGAGCAGUCUGGCGACCGCAACGCUUCCGGUCCGCACAGCGUCUGUGAAGGGAGUGACUCCACAGCUGUCCCUGCAGUCGGGCUGGAUGCGAACCACAUCUUCACAGCCGUGCAGAGCUGAAGAAAACAGAGCAACGAACGCUAAGAACUGCUCAAAACACGUCCUUCGAGCCAGCGACCUAAGGAUACCCAUGUAUCACCUACAGUCCUCCGCUCUACCAACUGAGCUAUCGAAGGGACAGUUCAGCAGACCCCCGGUCCCUGGGUUCACCAUGGCACACCGCACACGUGACAGGAAUGUGGGAGUCGUGUUAAGGAUGGCACGCAACGCGGCCAAACACCCAGCCCUGUUUCUCAUCACACGGUAAGGCUGCCUGUGGGGAAUCUGAGCAACGCACCCCGCCAUGUUCCCAUGACAGGUGGAUGGCAGAGGAGCAGCCGCAGUGUAGGAGGUGCCCUGGCUGGGAUCGAACCUCCUGCCCACUCAGAGGGACCAGUGCUGGGUUCCAGCGAACUCAUCCUACAGGCUGCGGAAUGGCCAAUGUCACGGCAACCAGCUGCUCUGAAGACAGAAGCAAAGGUGAAGGGAACGGUUGUGCGGCGGAAUGGCUCCGCCCCUCCGAUAACUGACUCCGCCCCUCCGGUGAUGAAGCUGUGUUCAUGGCUCCGCCUCUCCGGGUUCAUGACUCUGCCCUCCGGCGGUGACGCUGUGUCAAUGACUCUGUUUUCAUUCUAGCUAGUAAGGCGCAAGGCACGCUCCCUGUGGUGGACAUAAAACGCCUGUGCAACAGAAUAACCGGUUGUGUAUGAUGCAAACUAAAUUACAUGUAGUUGUCUGUACCAAAAUGCAAUUUACAUAUAUAUCUGUCUUCAGAUAUCUCAGUUUGACUAUCAUUUCGUUUGUUUAUUUAUUUAUUUAUUUAUAUUAUUUUAUUUUAAAAUGCUUGUUUUUACAGGGCCCAUCUUUGUUUUAAGAUAUCUGGGAAGAGUGCAUCGGUGGAAUGAGUGUAGUGUGCCACAGUUGUGGGCUUUGGUUUUUUGUCUGAUUGUCAAAUAUAUGUGGUUUUUUAAUGCUGCGCACAAUUUUCCAUCUGGGGAUAAUAAAGACCUACAGAAACUGAA